GCUGCAGGUGAACCCAGCGCGCUCGCAGGCCCUGCUGCCUCCACUCCCGCGCUCAGGGAUCCUGUCCGCACUUUUGGAUUCGCUCGGCGCUCUCGGGGUAAUGUCUGGGCAUGAGAGACUUGAACAAGAUCUGGAAGGUGAAGGUGAAGCAGCAGCCAUAUUUUUCCCUCUAAAGCUCCUGCUUGGAAUGUUGGGUUCUGAGAGGCACCUGAGCUGUUUUGGGAACGGGUGUGACAAAUGAUAUCUCUGGGAGAGUGUAACCAAGGGAGAUGGACAUCCUGUGUUUCCGAGAGUGAGUUUCUUUGGGACCUUUCUUAUCUCUGGGAUGAAGAACCUCUGGAGACUCCUUUGUACUAUCAGCAAUGACAACUCCACCACGACAAUUCUCAAACCUUUUGCAAUGGAAA